CCAACACUAGACAAAUGGUCAAGAGUACCUAGAGCAUGGUUGUAGUCCUGCAGGAAGAUCCACUUUAUAAUUUGCUAGCCAAUUAUUUCCUCCUAGAGCCAUCUUUACACUUUGGCAUUGUACUGCUUCACUAUCAACAACAAUAGUGCAACUAGAUGUAUAAGAACCUGUUAUCAGCCAGCUAACCCUUGGCAUGAAAAUUUUAGCCCACGACCACAAACAAUACCACUCUGUUAGGCUUAGAGAAAACAAGAGCAUAUAAUAACCAGGAACUACACAACAAAACUAGGCUAGAGUCCCCAAGUACAAGCAGGGGUGUU
rnacentral:lncRNA from 1 species